rnacentral:tRNA from 2 species
GGGGCCGUAGCUUAGCCGGGAGAGCGCCGCCCUUGCACGGCGGAGGUCCGGGGUUCGAAUCCCCGCGGCUCCA